GCCGCGGCCGCCCGAACCCCCAUGGAUGCUGGGCGCGCGGAAGACAUUUCCCGCCGUGAAGCGCAGGGAGCCGCUGCCCGGGCCCCCGAGGGACGAGGUGGUGGCCAACUGGCGAUUUCCUGAAAUCCAUGAUGGGGAAUCUGAGCCUGAAGGAAGCAAAUAACUUGCCCAUGAGACAUGUAGCGCCUGCCACCCAGAGACAGAAAUGGGGUGGAAUCCCUCCCUCCGUGUGAGCAUCUGGAAGGAGGGUAUCAGGCUGAAUCCCGGAGCCUCAGACAUGGACGAAUGGCUGAACUGCCAGGCUCUCCGGAGGUUCUCAUGGCCGGAGUGAAGAGCUUGGAUCAUAGGGGAAGGAACCCUCGUCUCCACACACAGCCCCCAGCCCCGCUCUUCACCCCUCUUCAUCCCGCUCAACAAUUCCACCUUUUCUUCAUCGCCUGGGAAGGCCGGGCCCCCUGCCAGACACUGCCUGUGCCUCACCCCAGUUCCUGUCCACAAGGACCUCACCCCUCCUCAGAAAUGUCUCCAUGGUUCCUUAGGUCAGAGCGGUCACUCAGUCACAGGACCGAGGCCCUAAGCCCUUCUGAGAUGCUGUUAGGGAGAUGGGCCAGUCACUUCCCGUCAACGUGCCUCAGUUUCCCCCGUGAAAUCUCAGUCCUCCUUUCUACAUAUCAUCACCUGGGUCCCCUGUGGCUAAAGGAAGGCCUCUGAAACCAGUCCCCAACAAACUGCCUUCCAGCCACCAACUUAUAGCCAGGAGCAGGGGACAGGAAACCGCCUACACACACCCCUAACCCACCAGCAAGAGCCCUGAGCCACUCAGGAAGGCCAGCCUGAGGCUGUUUAAACUAGUGAAUCAGACCUGUAAGUGGGUCUGGGGUGCCCAAAGGUGAAAAGAAGACGGGUGUGACCCAAGGCAGGCCCUGAAAGCAGGGUGUGGUGGGCCUUCACAAAGGUUGUAGCCGCCAGGGCUGGGCUGAGGUGAGUCACUCUUUAUUUGACCCAGAGAAGGAGGCCUGCUCUUCAUGGGCCAGAUGGUUGCUAGGAACACCAAGCCCGAGCUGGAAUCUCUGUUCUUCUGGCUUGAUAGGAGGCUUUGGGAAGGAGCUUUGUGUUAGGAAACAAAAGAAUAGGACCAAAGCCCCCCACCCCCAAAUAUUAAGGGGUUGUGAGCUCCCAAAACUCCAGAGGAGCUUAGAGUGUCCCGUGCGAGCCCCAGGGCCAUAAUCAUAACAACUGACUGAGGGGAGUACAGCCUACAUCUUUUCAGGUCUGAUUGGAUCCUCACAGCAGCCCAGCCCAUUUUACAGAGGAGAAAACAGAGGCUCCAAGAGGGGCAAUGACUUGGCAGGUCCACAGCCAGCUGUGUCAGAGCCUGGCUUCCAGCCUCUCACCCCUCAGCCCGGCGGCCGGGGCUCUGGGGUGGGACAGGGGCUCCGCUCUCCCUUCCAACGAAGCCGCAGCUCCAGAACAACUCCUUUGGGUCCCAUUUCCAAAAUCUUAUACCAACCCCAAGGGCAGUAAACCCCAGGCUGAAAUGCAAGGGGGGUCAGGAAGAAUCCCCUUCCCCUGCUCCCCAGCCAGAACAGUGCCCAACACCUUCCACCCUGAGCUGCAUGGCUUUGGACCAGUUCUCUGGUACAUCAAGAACUCAGGAGCUAACAACCUGGAUGGACCGCUGUCCCCAGAGAUGUAACUGAGGGGUCAAGCUGCUGUUCCCAUUCAGUAACGAACUGCCCACAGCCCUGAGUCUCUGAUCGGCCCCUGGCUGCUGGA